CGCCUUUGGCUUUGCACAUAUUAAGUGACAUAACAAACAAAUAAACUAAAGGUUCAUUUGCUUCUUGUAUCAGCAUAAAGGCAUUAAUCAUUACUGUCGAUUUGGUCGGGAAUAGAUCAGUGAUUCAGUGGGUAUUAUAAUUGCCGAUAUAUUCUUGAAAUCAUUUUGUUUCAAUGCCUCUAUAUCGAAGUUCAAUACUCUAAAGUGACUAAACAAGUAUAAACAGCAGAUUUAAGUAUAAAUGCCUUCAUGUAUUAUAAAAUAUAUCACCAGACAGGUAGACAGGGCACACGGCACGACUACAUCACUAUACGAGAACGAAAUAAAGCCAUCCUUACCUGAAUUAUUCAAAAUAUUGUCGAUCAUUCUUGCGCCAGAGACAC